rnacentral:rRNA from 1 species
UACGGGGGGAGCAAGCGUCGUUCGGAUUUACUGGGCGUAAAGGGCGCGUAGGCGGCACCGCAAGUCGAUUGUGAAAUCUCCGGGCUUAACCCGGAAAGGUCAACCGAUACUGCGGGGCUAGAGUGCAGAAGGGGCAACUGGAAUUCUCGGUGUAGCGGUGAAAUGCGUAGAUAUCGAGAGGAACACCUGCGGCGAAGGCGGGUUGCUGGGCUGACACUGACGCUGAAGUGCGAAAGCUAGGGGAGCGAACGGG